GACGAACGCUGGCGGCGUGCUUAACACAUGCAAGUCGAACGGAAAGGCCCUGCUUUUGUGGGGUGCUCGAGUGGCGAACGGGUGAGUAACACGUGAGUAACCUGCCCUUGACUUUGGGAUAACUUCAGGAAACUGGGGCUAAUACCGGAUAGGAGCUCCUGCGCCAUGGGGGGGGUGGGAAAGUUUCGGCGGUUGGGGAUGGACUCGCGGCUUAUCAGCUUGUUGGUGGGGUAGUGGCUUACCAAGGCUUUGACGGGUAGCCGGCCUGAGAGGGUGACCGGCCACAUUGGGACUGAGAUACGGCCCAGACUCCUACGGGAGGCAGCAGUGGGGAAUAUUGCACAAUGGGCGGAAGCCUGAUGCAGCAACGCCGCGUGCGGGAUGACGGCCUUCGGGUUGUAAACCGCUUUCGCCUGUGACGAAGCGUGAGUGACGGUAAUGGGUAAAGAAGCACCGGCUAACUACGUG
rnacentral:rRNA from 1 species